GAUGAACGCUGGCGGUAUGCUUAACACAUGCAAGUCGAACGGAGUGGCGGACGGGUAAGGGACGCGUGAGAAUCUGGCUUCAGGUUCGGGACAACAGUGGGAAACUGCUGCUAAUACCGGAUGCCGGAAGAUGAGCUCGCGUCGGAUUAGCUAGUUGGUGGGGUAAGAGCCCAGCAAGGCGACGAUCAGUAACUGGUCUGAGCGGAUGACCAGUCACACUGGGACUGGGACACGGCCCAGGCGACUACGGGAGGCAGCAGUCGGGCCUGUUCCGCCAUGGGCGAAAGCCUGACGGAGCAAUACCGCGUGAGAGAUGAAGGCUCUGGGGUGGAAAACCUCUUGUCUCAUGGAAGCGGUACCUGAGGAAUAAGCAUCGGCUAACUCCGUGCCAGCAGCCGCGGUAAUAC
rnacentral:rRNA from 1 species